rnacentral:misc_RNA from 1 species
AAGACUAUAGACCUGCGGAGUACCUGCGGAAGGAUCAUUAUCGUAUUGUAACAAUUGGGGGGGCCACCGUGGGCUGUCGCUGACCCUUUGAAAGGGGGGUCGUGCACGCCCCCAUAGUGUCAUCCUCAUACAAUCCAACUCACCUCUGUGCAUCACCGCGUGGGUUCCUUUCUGGGUCGAGUCAGACUGGCUCAGAAAAAAGGGACUUGCGUUUUCCAUACAAAUACCCUUAUAAAUCCA